CCUGUAGCCGCCGACGUUGAUGCCCAUCUUGCCUUGCUUGCUGAGGCAGUAGGACGCGAAGCAGUCGAUGCCCGUCCCGAUCAAGCCAACUGCAAAAUAUAAUCAUGUUAAAUUCUGGUAGUAAAGAGGUUUCUCUUACACAUUAACAUUUAAGCUAACUACUUACUUGUAACUACUAAUGUUAUUUUAUUUUCUAGAAAAAAAUAGACAUGGUGAAUAUAUUGUUUUUAUUAAAAGGACAUCUUAGUAUACAAUAAUAUACUAUUCUCCCUGUUACACAAGUGAAGACUUCAAAAAGGUGCGUUUCGGGCUGUCAAACCGUGGACAUCUUGUCGUGCACGUAGGCGAAUACAAGUUCAUAAAACACGAAUGCUAUAAGAAGAAGGUGCGGUGGACUUGCUGCAAGAGAAUACAACUUGGCUGCCGAGCAAGCAUCACGACGCACGACACGGUCAUCGUCAGGUCAUUUUUGGAUCACAAUCAUUAAAGUUAUAACAAUUUAAGACUACCCUCAUGAUCAAAACAUAUUGUUUGAAAACGGAACUACCGACAUUUCUUUUUUAUUGACGAACUAUAUUGUUAACGUAUUGUGCCUUACUGUUAAAAAUAUGUUAUAUUUGUAAGAGGACCAUGUAGACAUUGUGUACUACUAUAUCUAGUUACAAUAUAUGUAAUAUCGGCCAUAUUUUUUUGGUUAAAAUUAUAACAGGGUAGAGAAGAUUGGUGCCUAAUUGAUUGAUACUUGUUGCAGUUAUACUUUAGAUACGUAUUAAGUUUAUUAGACAUUCAUUGUUGCAACUUAACGACAUUAAAAUUGCUGGUCAAUUACAAAGAAAUAAACUUUACAAAUGUAAUACAAAUCAGAAAAAAUAUUAAAUAAAUAAAUAUAACUGUCACUUUUUCCAAUACAUAAAUACAUUUGUUGCUGAAAUAAAGGUAGUAUUGAUAAACUCGUUUUAAUGUAGCAGAAGAGUAAGCGAGACAGCGUAUUACACGAUGUAGAGCGGCUUCUCGCUAUCACAAUUGCAACAGUCCUAUUUUAUGAGAUGGUUGAAGGACAAUAUCAGUUUUAUGCAAUCUUACCGUGUGUAUAUAGCUUUGGUUUGUAGUCCAAGCGAAAAAUAAUCUUGAAUCUUAUAGUAUUAAGUUUAUUUUACAUUCCUGUAUCGUAUUUUUAAGUUUAAUCAUUUAUUGUAUAAUUUUUCUUUAAUUAUUAAGUUUUCUGUUUAUUUAGUAUUAAGUGCCUUGAUCUUGUUAAAUUAAGUCUUAAUAAAGCCCCAUGCAUUGGAUGCGUUAUGAGCUUUAAAUUAGCGUAAAAUUAUUAAAAUGUCAGUUUAGUUAGUAAGUGACACUUGUAUAUUGAAUAUUUUUGUAUGUUGACACAGUUUGUAAUAAAAGUACAUAUUUUGGGA